rnacentral:rRNA from 1 species
GGUUAAGUUAGAAAGGGCGCACGGUGGAUGCCUUGGCACUAGGAGCCGAUGAAGGACGGGACGAACACCGAUAUGCUUCGGGGAGCUGUAAGCAAGCUUUGAUCCGGAGAUUUCCGAAUGGGGAAACCCACCACUCGUAAUGGAGUGGUAUCCAUAUCUGAAUUCAUAGGAUAUGAGAAGGCAGACCCGGGGAACUGAAACAUCUAAGUACCCGGAGGAAGAGAAAGCAAAUGCGAUUCCCUGAGUAGCGGCGAGCGAAACGGGAUUAGCCCAAACCAAGAGGCUUGCCUCUUGGGGUUGUAGGACACUCUGUACGGAGUUACAAAAGAACGAGGUAGAUGAAGAGGUCUGGAAAGGCCCGCCAUAGGAGGUAACAGCCCUGUAGUCAAAACUUCGUUCUCUCCUGAGUGGAUCCUGAGUACGGCGGAACACGUGAAAUUCCGUCGGAAUCCGGGAGGACCAUCUCCCAAGGCUAAAUACUCCCUAGUGACCGAUAGUGAACCAGUACCGUGAGGGAAAGGUGAAAAGCACCCCGGAAGGGGAGUGAAAGAGAUCCUGAAACCGUGUGCCUACAAGUAGUCAGAGCCCGUUAANNNNNNNNNNNNNNNNNNNNNNNAUGAGUACGUGGUCGUAGACCCGAAACCAGGUGAUCUACCCAUGUCCAGGGUGAAGUUCAGGUAACACUGAAUGGAGGCCCGAACCCACGCACGUUGAAAAGUGCGGGGAUGAGGUGUGGGUAGGGGUGAAAUGCCAAUCGAACCUGGAGAUAGCUGGUUCUCUCCGAAAUAGCUUUAGGGCUAGCCUCAAGGUAAGAGUCUUGGAGGUAGAGCACUGAUUGGACUAGGGGCCCCUACCGGGUUACCGAAUUCAGUCAAACUCCGAAUGCCAAUGACUUAUCCUUGGGAGUCAGACUGCGAGUGAUAAGAUCCGUAGUCGAAAGGGAAACAGCCCAGACCGCCAGCUAAGGUCCCAAAGUAUACGUUAAGUGGAAAAGGAUGUGGAGUUGCUUAGACAACCAGGAUGUUGGCUUAGAAGCAGCCACCAUUUAAAGAGUGCGUAAUAGCUCACUGGUCGAGUGACUCUGCGCCGAAAAUGUACCGGGGCUAAACGUAUCACCGAAGCUGCGGACUGUUCUUCGAACAGUGGUAGGAGAGCGUUCUAAGGGCUGUGAAGCCAGACCGGAAGGACUGGUGGAGCGCUUAGAAGUGAGAAUGCCGGUAUGAGUAGCGAAAGAGGGGUGAGAAUCCCCUCCACCGAAUGCCUAAGGUUUCCUGAGGAAGGCUCGUCCGCUCAGGGUUAGUCGGGACCUAAGCCGAGGCCGAAAGGCGUAGGCGAUGGACAACAGGUUGAUAUUCCUGUACCACCUCCUCACCAUUUGAGCAAUGGGGGGACGCAGGAGGAUAGGGUAAGCGCGGUAUUGGAUAUCCGCGUCCAAGCAGUUAGGCUGGGAAAUAGGCAAAUCCGUUUCCCAUAAGGCUGAGCUGUGAUGGCGAGCGAAAUAUAGUAGCGAAGUUCCUGAUUCCACACUGCCAAGAAAAGCCUCUAGCGAGGUGAGAGGUGCCCGUACCGCAAACCGACACAGGUAGGCGAGGAGAGAAUCCUAAGGUGAUCGAGAGAACUCUCGUUAAGGAACUCGGCAAAAUGACCCCGUAACUUCGGGAGAAGGGGUGCUCUGUUAGGGUGCAAGCCCGAGAGAGCCGCAGUGAAUAGGCCCAGGCGACUGUUUAGCAAAAACACAGGUCUCUGCGAAGCCGUAAGGCGAAGUAUAGGGGCUGACGCCUGCCCGGUGCUGGAAGGUUAAGAGGAGCGCUUAGCGUAAGCGAAGGUGCGAAUUGAAGCCCCAGUAAACGGCGGCCGUAACUAUAACGGUCCUAAGGUAGCGAAAUUCCUUGUCGGGUAAGUUCCGACCCGCACGAAAGGCGCAACGAUCUGGGCACUGUCUCAACGAGAGACUCGGUGAAAUUAUAGUACCUGUGAAGAUGCAGGUUACCCGCGACAGGACGGAAAGACCCCGUGGAGCUUUACUGCAGCCUGAUAUUGAAUGUUGGUACAGCUUGUACAGGAUAGGUAGGAGCCUUGGAAACCGGAGCGCCAGCUUCGGUGGAGGCAUCGGUGGGAUACUACCCUGGCUGUAUUGACCUUCUAACCCGCCGCCCUUAUCGGGCGGGGAGACAGUGUCAGGUGGGCAGUUUGACUGGGGCGGUCGCCUCCUAAAAGGUAACGGAGGCGCCCAAAGGUUCCCUCAGAAUGGUUGGAAAUCAUUCGCAGAGUGUAAAGGCACAAGGGAGCUUGACUGCGAGACCUACAAGUCGAGCAGGGACGAAAGUCGGGCUUAGUGAUCCGGUGGUUCCGCAUGGAAGGGCCAUCGCUCAACGGAUAAAAGCUACCCCGGGGAUAACAGGCUUAUCUCCCCCAAGAGUCCACAUCGACGGGGAGGUUUGGCACCUCGAUGUCGGCUCAUCGCAUCCUGGGGCUGUAGUCGGUCCCAAGGGUUGGGCUGUUCGCCCAUUAAAGCGGUACGCGAGCUGGGUUCAGAACGUCGUGAGACAGUUCGGUCCCUAUCCGUCGCGGGCGCAGGAAAUUUGAGAGGAGCUGUCCUUAGUACGAGAGGACCGGGAUGGACGCACCGCUGGUGUACCAGUUGUUCUGCCAAGGGCAUCGCUGGGUAGCUAUGUGCGGACGGGAUAAGUGCUGAAAGCAUCUAAGCAUGAAGCCCCCCUCAAGAUGAGAUUUCCCAUUCCGCAAGGAAGUAAGAUCCCUGAAAGAUGAUCAGGUUGAUAGGUCUGAGGUGGAAGUGUGGCGACACAUGGAGCUGACAGAUACUAAUCGAUCGAGGACUUAACCAC